rnacentral:rRNA from 1 species
AUGACGCCAGGGCAGUCGCAGAGCCCCAAGGCCAAGCACCGAAUGAACCGCGAGGCGAGCGACACCAACGUAUACCUCACACUCGAACAGCGAGCACCAAGGCACCCCGCCAGCCCGCCUCCUCUCGCGGCCACCGUCUCCGACUCGGCUCGCCGGCGAAAUCUCGCGUGUCGCCACCUUGUUCCACACCGGCAGCAGCCUUCCAAUCCGGGAGACGAGACGACCAGCCGGGCGGCGAGGAGCAGAGGACCUACCUGGGCUCCAUGGAGAUCGAGAGGGGCGCGCGCGCGCCUUUGCGCUCGCCACCGCGGUGGGUUUUAUAAUGCCGCUCCUGUUGCUAUCAGCUCCCACCGAUCUUUCCGUAUAAAAAACGAUCUCUGCACUGUGCGCGUACAGUAG